UUAGGAAUAUUGGACAAUGGGGGAAACCCUGAUCCAGCCAUGCCGCGUGUGUGAUGAAGGCCUUAGGGUUGUAAAGCACUUUCGUUGGGGAUGAUAAUGACCGUACCCAAAGAAGAAGCCACGGCUAAAUUCGUGCCAGCAGCCGCGGUAAUACGAAUGUGGCAAGCGUUGUUCGGAAUCACUGGGCGUAAAGAAUGCGUAGGCGGCUUGACAAGUCAGGAGUGAAAUCCCAGGGCUUAACCCUGGAACUGCUUUUGAAACUGUUUUGCUAGAGUCCCGGAGGGGUUGGCGGAAUUCCGAGUGUAGAGGUGAAAUUCGCAGAUAUUCGGAGGAACACCAGUGGCGUAGGCGGCCAACUGGACGGGAACUGACGCUGAGGCAUGAAAGUGUGGGGAUCAAACAGG
rnacentral:rRNA from 1 species